AACUCGGCUUGCGAUAAUUAUUCGUAACAUGGAAGAUUUCUGAGACAAACCGUCUAAGAAAAGUUCUGUUAAUCAAGCUAACUAUAACGCAUUUUUGCAUACACACGCUAGUAUAGUGACUCACGUAAUCGUGUUGGCGAAUAUACUCGACGCGAUAAAUCAUCCUUUCGCCACCUAUCACAGUCAAAGGAUUAUAAUUUUUCAUAUUUUUCAUUUCGUGGAAAAAUGAAUUUUUUCAUUUGCGUGUAUUUAAAAUGUUUAAUUCCAUUUAUGAUUGUGCAAUUUUUUUCUGCGGUAGUGAAACCGGAAUGUACUGGUACCGCUAAUAAGCGUAUUCACGUACAAAAACGAGAAACGUUUAAAACUGGGAAGAAAUUAUUAGCAAAUGAUAUACACGAGGCAUUUCCAAAUUCGCCGGAAAUUACUACCAUUGCGACGAAACUUGUUGCCAAAUUACCAUCUGAAUCGGAGUCUAGCUGUAAGCAAGAAGUGAAUAAGGUCUUGAAUGCUACCACUCAAAUAGUGACUGGAAAAUUGUUCACACUAACGAUGGAAAUCUGUUUCCAGAACUGCGCGGAGCAUAAUACAAACGAAUGUGAAAUAUGCACGAGCAAAGUUUGGCAAAAACCGUGGGAAGGCGGUUUCGAUGUCCGAGAAUUUCAAUGCAACAAUAGUAAUGCUAGAACAACCAAAGUCAAAUCGUUUGAAUUUGACUUAUUUCAUUGAUUUUCAAAAUUAUGUACAUACCUACCUACAUAAAUUGAGUUUUUUAUCAAUACUUUGAUUGGACCACAUUUGGAUCUACAAAAUACGAGUAUGUAUCCGGAUCUAAUUUCCUCGUGCUUACCUAUUUUGAAAAUAACUCAAUAGGAUGGAUUUUUUAAUGUAAACGCGAUGCAAUAAUACGCUGAGUAAACAUGUUUUAUUUGUCUUUUCGUUCACUUACCUAUACCUAUCUGCAUUUUACAAGUUCGCUUGUAAUCUUCAACUUGGGCUACCAAAAAGUGUGUACUUGGAAAUUUCAAAGGAAUGUCAAAUCCCAAGUCAAGAUCAUCGAUUAGAUUUUCAUUCAGAAAAAGCCUAAGGCCCUCUAUAAUCAUUCAGUUUAGUACGCGAAAAAAAAUAAUAAACCAACCGGAUGAAUCUAGUUGGUUUUUAUUUCUAUUACGUCAUAGCGGUGAUUUAUUUUUCUCCAUUUGAACAUUUGAAGCUUGGUACCUACGAAAAAUAAUAAAUUUUCAUUUCAAGAUUUGAGAUACAGUUGGCGUAUGUACAGUGUUGCCAUUUGGUGCAAUUGCGCAUUGAGCAGUGCGUCAAAAAAAUAACAAUCGAAACGAAUGAAAUGAAAAUAAUACAUUACUUAUGCCAUGGUACAUUAUUACUACCCUCCUCUCCGCUUUCGUCUUCUGCGAACAAAUAAGGUGGACGUAAAAUGAAAAUGAUUGCCAUUUUGGCGAGUUUGGUAGUCUUAAUUAAUAUAAUCAUCUUGUAACACCAUCAUCAUAGCUAUAGCCACCUCACUUUACUGGUUACUUAAUCAAAUCUAUAGUGAAAUAACAGCGAGUUUAUUUCGAUCUCAUUCGUAAGUGCUUAGAUCGUGUUAGCUGACAUUUUCGAAAUAUGAAUUUCAUUUUUUUUACUUCGUUGUUGGUGGUUUUCACUGUGAAGGUGAUAGCUCUACCAGAGGUUAUUGAACCAGAAUACGCGAAUGUCCACAGUGCAUCUCUUCAAAAACGAGCAGCUCCGCGUGAAAAAGUUGAAAGUACAGCUGGCUAUAAACGUCCUGCAAAUCCAAAUUCCACUGAGGUAGCAAGUGUAGCCAAAAGAAUUAUGACUAAAUUCAACGCCGACAGAAUUUGGGACUGUAGACAAAAACUGAGAAAAAUCUUCGGUGGAACAACACAAGUGAUAACCGGAUUAAGAACUGAAUUAGAUUUGGAGAUUUGCACUCACGCAUGUAGAGGCGAAAUUGUUGAUUAUGACGAUUGUAAAAAUUGCACGGUUGAAGUUUGGGAAAGAAAGUGGGAAAACUAUUUCGAAGUUAUUAGCUUCGGCUGUAGUGAUGGUGUAUCAAACGUUGUCAGGGUCGAAUGAGUCAGCAAAUAAUCGAAAAAACUGAAAAGUGAAUGAAAUAUUACAAAUAUCAAUAUUUUUCUAUUAAAGCACUAUACUUUCAUUCAAACCAUCAUCAUAAUAUUAAGAUCUGAGAUUUCUUAUUUUUUUUUUUUUAUCAAUAUUAUGAUUUGUAAUUUAAUAAUUUUUUAUAUCUGUGUUCAUUUUUGUAGCGCAAUAAAAUAAAAUCAAUUUUUAUUCGUAUUGCAAGUAAUAUAUCUAUAGACCGACUCGUA